rnacentral:lncRNA from 1 species
UGUAUUCAUCAAAUGCAAAUGAUUCCCUAAGGUAGAAGAAAUUCUCUCUCCCCAUGCUUUCAACCUGCACCAGUUGAGCGAAUCUGAGGUUGUUCAAAACAAGAAUGACUUGAACUUCAUACAAAGCAUCACCCAACAUACGUAUAGCAAGAUACUCAAAAAACUUUUUGAUAAGACCUUUUUGUUCUUCCCAGUUCUCUACAUCGUUACCAAACUUAGGAAUCCAUACAGCACAUUU